rnacentral:rRNA from 1 species
UACAGGGGGGGCAAGCGUUGUUCGGAAUUACUGGGCGUAAAGGGUGCGCAGGCGGCCAAGUGUGUUAGGCGUGAAAGCCCGGGGCUUAACCUCGGAAUUGCACCUAAAACUACAUGGCUAGAGCAUUGGAGAGGGUAGCGGAAUUCACGGUGUAGCAGUGAAAUGCGUAGAUAUCGUGAGGAACACCAGAGGCGAAGGCGGCUACCUGGACAAUUGCUGACGCUCAGGCACGAAAGCGUGGGGAGCAAAAGGG